UACGUAGGUGGCAAGCGUUGUCCGGAUUUACUGGGCGUAAAGAGCGCGCAGGCGGUCGUUCAAGUCGCGUGUGAAAGCCCCCGGCUCAACUGGGGAGGGUCACGCGAUACUGAUCGACUCGAAGGCAGGAGAGGGUAGUGGAAUUCCCGGUGUAGUGGUGAAAUGCGUAGAUAUCGGGAGGAACACCAGUGGCGAAGGCGACUACCUGGCCUGUUCUUGACGCAGAGGCGCGAAAGCUAGGGGAGCAAACGGG
rnacentral:rRNA from 1 species